rnacentral:rRNA from 1 species
AACGAACGCUGGCGGCGUGCUUAACACAUGCAAGUCGAACGAGAAAGCCCUUCGGGGUGAGUAGAGUGGCGCACGGGUGAGUAACACGUAGGUUAUCUACCUUAGGGUGGGGGAUAACCAGGAGAAAUCCUGGCUAAUACCGCAUACGAACGAAAGUUGAAAGGAUGCUUCGGCAUUCACCCUUAGAUGAGCCUGCGGGACAUUAGCUUGAUGGUGGGGUAAUGGCCUACCAUGGCGACGAUGUCUAGCUGGUCUGAGAGGAUGAUCAGCCACACUGGAACUGAGACACGGUCCAG